rnacentral:rRNA from 1 species
UACAGGGGGGGCAAGCGUUGUUCGGAAUUACUGGGCGUAAAGGGCCAGUAGGCGGCCAACUAAGUCACACGUGAAAUCCCUCGGCUUAACCGGGGAACUGCGUCUGAUACUGGAUGGCUUGAGUUUGGGAGAGGGAUGCGGAAUUCCAGGUGUAGCGGUGAAAUGCGUAGAUAUCUGGAGGAACACCGGUGGCGAAGGCGGCAUCCUGGACCAACACUGACGCUGAGGAGCGAAAGCCAGGGGAGCAAACGGG